CGAAGCGGGCAUGCUGGGAGAGACUUUGUGAUUUGUCUCCAAAGCCUCACCCAGCUCUCUGGCCCUCUAG
ensembl:miRNA MIR6862-1 microRNA 6862-1